UGUGUUUCUUUAUCGAUUUCUUUGUUUCGGCACGUUCGGCACGAUGCUAAAGCCAGUUAGCGGAUAGUCAGCUAAGUCAAGCGUUUCCGUCCCUCCUCCGGUUUUGAAAUUGACCUUUAAAAGUCCUUUUCUGUGUCUUGACGCUGAUAUCUACAAAAUGACUGCGAUUUUAUUCCAGUGGUAUCGUUUGUAAUUGAAACUUUUAAGAUGCGACUCUCAAAAAAUAGCUUCACUGUAGUCGGGUUUCACACCUCUCUUUGUCUCGUGGUAUUUUGUUGUUGGCUAGUUAGCGGAUAUUAAGCGUCUCCCGGUUUGAAAUUGAUUUUGAAAGUGAUUUACUAUGACAAGGCGUUAACUACAGCAGCCUUUAAUACCUCAACUCUUGAUUCAGCCAAGGUAAGUGCCCCCCCUUAUAUUUUCUAUGUAUGUGUUCAGCUGAUAUUUAGAAAAAAAUAGGUGUGUUUAGGAUGUCAUUUUAUUCCAGAGCUGUUGUUUGUAAUUAAAACUUUUAAGAUUAGAUGGUACAGUGUUUUUACUCCCUUCCAAACAGUAAAGUUCCUCUCUCAGUAGGAAAUUUAAACCAGACAGUACAAGGCUACAUUUCAGUGUUACAAGCCAAUCAGUUUGCUAAUUGUUCUGUGAGAUUUGUUUGCAAAGUUUAAGGUGUUAAGUAGGACUGUGAACAUCUGGGUCUGCUUGCUGCUGGCAUUCUGCCAGAGCCCCAGCAACAAGACCGCCUCCCAGCAACGAGACUGCCUGUCAGCCUUGCAAGGUACC